AUUUGGCAAGACAUGUCAAUUAAUUUUAAAAAGAAAAGUGAAUGAUGUGAUAGCAGUUUGUUUGAUAUUGUUAGAAAUAGACAUGUUUACGUGGACAAAGAAGUGUUGGUCUUCUAUUUUGCUUUUGGCAGAUGAUCUGGGUGAUUUUUCUGCGGACUUAAACUGUCAUUUUUUCAGCUUGGUAUCAGCCCUCAGAUCAUUGCAUCCAUAAUUAUGCAGGGUUAAGCAUGUGAUGGUGACUGCUUUACUUUUGGUUUGUGGUGCAAUGACUAUGACAUGGAUAUGUGAUACAAUAUCAGAAUCCGAAUUUGGUCAAGGUUCGUCUCUAAUUAUAUGUGUUGGAAUUUUAACUGAAUACACAGAUACGCUGUAUGAGAUGUUGACUCAACUCUCAGUGUGCAUCAUUAUUGGUUUCUUGCAUCCACAUGAAAUGCCGUGAGUUGGUGGGAGUACAUGCUUGCUCUAUUAGGCCUUUUUACUGUAGUCACCAUGUGGGCAGUUGUUGUAACUGAGGGUUUCAGGAAAAUAAAGCUGCAGUACUAUGGGUUUAAAGUAGCAUCUGCUGCAAGGUAAAGUCAUUGCAACUUACCUAGACAUUAGAUGCAUUUGGUGGAGAGACAUAGGCUUUGGGUUCAAUUCUUUUUUGU